rnacentral:ncRNA from 1 species
GACGGGGUCAGGGCACUGGUCAGCCCCGUUUUUCCAAGCUGGCUGUGGGAAGGAAGCGGGCUUGGCAAAGCCUGGGGACUGGGGGUGUUCAGCUGGAGAAGAGGAGAGGUGCUGGGUGCGGAGGGGUGGGUCAGGAGGGGCGCGGGUCAGCGCCUUGCCAGCUCCAGCUAGAGGCACGAACACCCAUCCCGGUGCCAAGCGAUCCCCUGGAGGAGAGGAGGCUCCACGGGAACCCGGCUUCGCAAAGCCUGACCCACAGACCCCCCUCUGGAAGACACCAAAGGGGGAGCGGGACCCCCUCUCCACCUUCCCCUUCCUUCCCCCGCCGGAGGCACGCGUCAGCCCAGCUGCGGGGAGCCGGCUGCGCCGAGCUCCAGCGGCUCCUCUCCCUCUCCUCCUGUCUCCCCCUCCUUCUCCCCGGGUUGUCUAAUUAGCGCUGAUGGAUAGUUUAAGCCAUGCCGUCGCGAGACGAUCGGUGGACGGGCCACCGUUACUUAACCCGGAAAAGGGACACACUCCGUGUGUGUUCAUAUAAUAGCCAAAUGCCUCGUCAUCUAAUUAGUGACGCGCAUGAAUGGAUGAACGAGAUUCCCACUGUCCCUACCUACUCUCCAGCGAAACCACAGCCAAGGGAACGGGCUUGGCGGAAUCAGCGGGGAAAGAAGACCCUGUUGAGCUUGACUCUAGUCUGGCGCUGUGAAGAGACAUGAGAGGUGUAGAAUAAGUGGGAGGCCGGGCGCGCGCUCGGCGGUGCGGGGCGACCCGCCCGCCGGCGUCCCGGCCGUCGGUGAAAUACCACUACUCUGAUCGUUUUUUCACUUACCCGGUGAGGCGGGGGGGCGAGCCCCGAGGGGGGCUCUCGCUUCUGGCGCCAAGCGCCCGGCGCGCGCCGCCCCGCCGUGAAAUUUCCAAUUAGGCUGCAAACACACGAGACGCCCCCGGCCCCGUGGCUGCCACGCUGGCCGGGCGGCCCCGAUCGAUUACCUUGGGGUUCUCCAGGAU